UACGGAGGGUGCAAGCGUUAUCCGGAUUCACUGGGUUUAAAGGGUGCGUAGGCGGGUCUGUAAGUCAGUGGUGAAAUCCUGGAGCUUAACUCCAGAACUGCCAUUGUUACUAUAGGUCUUGAAUAUUGUGGAGGUUUGCGGAAUAUGUCAUGUAGCGGUGAAAUGCAUAGAUAUGACAUAGAACACCUAUUGCGAAGGCAGCAGGCUACACAUAUAUUGACGCUGAGGCACGAAAGCGUGGGGAUCAAACAGG
rnacentral:rRNA from 1 species